CAAAGAAACCCUCCGUUCCAAAUUAGUUGACUUGAAUCUGUCUAAAUACGGAUGUAUCUAUACUUGUUUAGUGUCUAAAUAUAUCCGUAUCUAGAUAAGUAUGGGUCAAGUAAUUUGAAACGGAGGGAAUAUAUA
rfam:Triticum urartu cultivar G1812 contig882111, whole genome shotgun sequence.